rnacentral:rRNA from 1 species
AGCGUUGCUCGGAAUCACUGGGCGUAAAGGGUGCGUAGGCGGCUCCUUAAGUCCGGGGUGAAAUCCUGGAGCUCAACUCCAGAACUGCCUUUGAUACUGAAGAUCUUGAGUUCGGGAGAGGUGAGUGGAACUGCGAGUGUAGAGGUGAAAUUCGUAGAUAUUCGCAAGAACACCAGUGGCGAAGGCGGCUCACUGGCCCGAUACUGACGCUGAGGCACGAAAGCGUGGGGAGCAAACAGG